AUGUAUCCAAAAGCUGGGUGUGCAGUGGCUGGGAACAGCAGCCUCCUCGGUAGUGUAUGCAGCCUGUUGAUUGUCUGGGUGGCCCUCAGGGACCUGGGAGACAGCC
ensembl:snoRNA SNORA70 Small nucleolar RNA SNORA70